AGAGUUUGAUCAUGGCUCAGAAUGAACGCUGGCGGCGUGCUUAACACAUGCAAGUCGAACGGUAACAGGGACUUCGGUCUGCUGACGAGUGGCGCACGGGUGAGUAAUGUAUAGGUAACGCACCCCUCAGUCUGGGAUAGCCACUGGAAACGGUGAUUAAUACUGGAUACUCCUUCUUAUAUGAUGUAAGAAGGGAAAGGUUUUUCGCUAAGGGAUCGGCCUAUAUUGUAUCAGCUUGUUGGUGAGGUAAUGGCUCACCAAGGCUAUGACACAUAGCGGGUUUGAGAGGAUGAUCCGCCACACUGGUACUGAGACACGGACCAGACUCCUACGGGAGGCAGCAGUGAGGAAUAUUGCACAAUGGGGGAGACCCUGAUGCAGCAACGCCGCGUGGAGGAUGACGCAUUUCGGUGUGUAAACUCCUUUUAUAAGGGAAGAAAAUGACGGUACCUUAUGAAUAAGCUCCGGCUAACUCCGUGCCAGCAGCCGCGGUAAUACGGAGGGAGCAAGCGUUAUUCGGAAUCACUGGGCGUAAAGGACGCGUAGGCUGGUCUCUAAGUCAGAUGUGAAAUCCAAUGGCUCAACCAUUGAACUGCAUUUGAAACUGGGGACCUAGAGUAUGGGAGGGGCAGAUGGAAUUAGUGGUGUAGGGGUAAAAUCCGUAGAUAUCACUAGGAAUACCGAAAGCGAAGGCGAUCUGCUGGAACAUUACUGACGCUGAGGCGUGAAAGCGUGGGGAGCAAACAGGAUUAGAUACCCUGGUAGUCCACGCCCUAAACGAUGAACACUAGUCGUCGGGGAGCUUGUCUCUUCGGUGAUGCACUUAACAGAUUAA
rnacentral:rRNA from 1 species